GACGAACGCUGGCGGCGUAGCUUAAAACAAUGCAAGUCGAACGGACUUCUCAUGAAGCUUGCGAUUGAGAAGUUAGUGGCGGACGGGUGAGUAACGCGUGGGCAACCUGCCCCUGAGCCCGGGAUAACAGUUCGAAAGGACUGCUAAGACCGGAUAUACUUGCGGUGAAGCAUUUCACUGCAAGGAAAGGGAACGCUCAGGGAUGGGCCCGCGUCCCAUUAGCUAGUUGGUGAGGUAACGGCCCACCAAGGCGACGAUGGGUAGCCGGCCUGAGAGGGUGAACGGCCACACUGGGACUGAGACACGGCCCAGACUCCUACGGGAGGCAGCAGUUGGGAAUCUUCGGCAAUGGGCGCAAGCCUGACCGAGCAACGCCGCGUGAGUGAUGAAGGUUUUCGGAUUGUAAAGCUCUGUCUUCCGGGACGAUAAUGACGGUACCGGAGGAGGAAGCCACGGCUAACUACGUG
rnacentral:rRNA from 1 species